AAGCCUGAUCCAGCCAUGCGCGUGAGUGAUGAAGGCCUUAGGGUUGUAAAGCUCUUUUGGCGGGGACGAUAAUGACGGUACCCGCAGAAUAAGUCCCGGCUAACUUCGUGCCAGCAGCCGCGGUAAUA
rnacentral:rRNA from 1 species